UAUUUGAUUUUAGUAUAAAAUUUUGUUUUAUAAAUAUAUUACAUGAAAUUUAAUAAGAGAAUUUAUAAAAUUUUAAAAAUUAAAUUAAUUUUAUUUUCAGUAAAUAAUAUUAAAAAAUAAAGAAAUUUUGAUUUAAUAAUUUAUAAAUAACUUUGGUAAAUUUAGUGCCAGCAACUGCGGUUAUACUAAUAAAGUAAAUAAAAUUUUUUUAUUAAUAAUUAAUAGAAUAAAAAUUAAUAAAAAAAUUUAUUUAUUAGAUGAAAUUUUAAAUAAAUAAUUUUAUUAUUAAAAAUUUUAUGAAAUUAAAAAAAAUUUUUUAUAAACUAGGAUUAGAUACCCUAUUAUUAAAUACAAAUUAUUAUAAUAGAUCAUUUAUAGUUAAAUUCUUAAAAAUUAAAAAAUUUGGCGGUAUUUUAAUUAAUCAGAGAAAUUUGUUCUAUAAUCGAUAAUCCUCGUUAAAGUUUACUUAAUUUAAUUAAAUUUAUAUACCGCUGUUAUUGAAUAUAUUUAAAAAUUUAAAUUUCAAUAAAAAUUUUUAUAAAAUUAUAUUUAAUGUCAAGUCAAGGCAUAGUUUAUAGUUAAGAAGAAAUGAAUUUCAUUAAAUUUUAUUUUAUCAGAUAAAUAAAUUGAUUUUAUUUAAAAGAAGAAUUUGAAAGUAAAUUAAUUUAUAAAAUUUAAUUGAAUUAGACUCUAAAAUAUGUACAUAUUGCCCGUCGCUCUCAUUCUAAAAUGAGAUAAGUCGUAACAAAGUAAAAAUAUUGGAAAAUGUUUUUAGAAUU